rnacentral:lncRNA from 1 species
GGGUUCUGCUACGCAGCAAUCCGGGCUGACGCUGGCCAGGGGCACCUAACCGUGCUCCCCAACGAGAACCACCGCCGAAGCACUCUCCCCUUAGGGGGCGAAAGAGAGGCGUGAGGGGUCCCCACAGCCCCCUCCUGCUCGAACGAGGGCGCGCGACCCACCCCCUGUCUCUACCUUAUGUACACGCAACACACACACACAGAUAUGUAUGUGUGUGCUACAUGGUUGGGGGUGCGUGACCCCAUACCUGUAAAACUACCCAUACGAACCGAAGGCCCAAGGGCAAUAUCUACACGCCUAAAAGCCAAAAGGGGUAACUGAGUUUCGGUGAGCCCACAUACGUUCCAACAUCCUCGCCAGACGUACACAGAUAUGUUGACAAGUUUUUACAUCGCAGGGAGCGGAACGGUGAUAAAUCCGGAUCCGGAACUUGGGGUAAAUCCACUCCAACGGAGACAUUAGCCCGCAGGCUGCUGCGCAAUUUGACAUACAGACCCACGCAACACCACACUACAGGCACACAAUUCAAGCUGUUCAGUUCAGGGGAGCCGUUUUGCUCACACGCUCCCUGGCCUACUCGAUGUACCUCCGAUCCCGGUCUAUCCGUAUAUGCUUCGCGCCGUCACUCAUAUCAGAAAGUAUUCGUAGACCUACAGCCACAUAAUACACAUACAUACAUACACAUGCACGCACAUCUACGCUGGGGUCGCUGCAGCGCAAGGCACCCAUGUAACAGUGCACAGAAUAGGAACCCACCUACAGAAACCCAAACGUCCGUCCAUCGUAAUCAAUCGAUUGGGAAAUGCAGGUAUGCAGGUAUACAUGUAUGCAGGUAUAUGCACGUGCAACACGGAACGGAAUCAAUGGUUGGAAAUUAACGAACUCGACACGUCAGCACACACAUGUUUUGUAAUCAAUCGAUAAAAAAACGCAAGCGCACAUACACAUACACAACGAAUCAAUGAGU